rnacentral:tRNA from 1 species
GUCCCCGUUGCACAGUGGUUAGUGCGUGACUCUUAUAGCUAACAGCCACUUUGGUUUUGGUUUUAUGAUUUACAUGUCAAGGUCCGGGGUUCGAACCCCCGCGGGAACA